UCAUUUCUUAAUGCUUCCUGCCU
rnacentral:piRNA from 1 species